AGAGUCGAUCGGACAGUCGCUGUCUCUUUUUGUUCCGUCAAAAGGGGAGGGAGGAAAGUCCGGGCUCCAUAGGGCGAAGUGCCAGGUAACGCCUGGGAGGCGCGAGCCUACGGAAAGUGCCACAGAAAAUAACCGCCUAAGCGCUUCGGCGCCGGUAAGGGUGAAAAGGUGCGGUAAGAGCGCACCGCACGGCUGGCAACAGUCCGUGGCUAGGUAAACCCCACUUGGAGCAAGACCAAAUAGGGAUCCAUUGGCGUGGCCCGCGCUGGAUCCGGGUAGGUUGCUAGAGGCAGUCAGCGAUGGCUGUCGUAGAGGAAUGGCUGUCCUCGACAGAACCCGGCUUACAGAUCGACUCUCCGA
rnacentral:RNase_P_RNA from 1 species